UGCUGGAGGUAUCAGAAGUGCGAAUGCUGACAUAAGUAACGAUAAAGCGGGUGAAAAGCCCGCUCGCCGGAAGACCAAGGGUUCCUGUCCAACGUUAAUCGGGGCAGGGUGAGUCGACCCCUAAGGCGAGGCCGAAAGGCGUAGUCGAUGGGAAACGGGUUAAUAUUCCCGUACUUGGUGUUACUGCGAAGGGGGGACGGAGAAGGCUAUGUUGGCCGGGCGACGGUUGUCCCGGUUUAAGCGUGUAGGUGUGUGUUCCAGGUAAAUCCGGUUCACUUUAACACUGAGGCGUGAYGACGAGGCACUACGGUGCUGAAGCAACAAAUGCCCUGCUUCCAGGAAAAGCCUCUAAGCAUCAGGUAACAUCAAAUCGUACCCCAAACCGACACAGGUGGUCAGGUAGAGAAUACCAAGGCGCUUGAGAGAACUCGGGUGAAGGAACUAGGCAAAAUGGUGCCGUAACUUCGGGAGAAGGCACGCUGACAUGUAGGUGAAGUGAUUUACUCAUGGAGCUGAAGUCAGUCGAAGAUACCAGCUGGCUGCAACUGUUUAUUAAAAACACAGCACUGUGCAAACACGAAAGUGGACGUAUACGGUGUGACGCCUGCCCGGUGCCGGAAGGUUAAUUGAUGGGGUCAGCGCAAGCGAAGCUCCUGAUCGAAGCCCCGGUAAACGGCGGCCGUAACUAUAACGGUCCUAAGGUAGCGAAAUUCCUUGUCGGGUAAGUUCCGACCUGCACGAAUGGCGUAAUGAUGGCCAGGCUGUCUCCACCCGAGACUCAGUGAAAUUGAACUCGCUGUGAAGAUGCAGUGUACCCGCGGCAAGACGGAAAGACCCCGUGAACCUUUACUAUAGCUUGACACUGAACAUUGAGCCUUGAUGUGUAGGAUAGGUGGGAGGCUUUGAAGYGUGGACGCCAGUCUGCRUGGAGCCGACCUUGAAAUACCACCCUUUAAUGUUUGAUGUUCUAACGUGGAYCCGURAUCCGGGUUGCGGACAGUGUCUGGUGGGUAGUUUGACUGGGGCGGUCUCCUCCUAAAGAGUAACGGAGGAGCACGAAGGUUGGCUAAUCCUGGUCGGACAUCAGGAGGUUAGUGCAAUGGCAUAAGCCAGCUUGACUGCGAGCGUGACGGCGCGAGCAGGUGCGAAAGCAGGUCAUAGUGAUCCGGUGGUUCUGAAUGGAAGGGCCAUCGCUCAACGGAUAAAAGGUACUCCGGGGAUAACAGGCUGAUACCGCCCAAGAGUUCAUAUCGACGGCGGUGUUUGGCACCUCGAUGUCGGCUCAUCACAUCCUGGGGCUGAAGUAGGUCCCAAGGGUAUGGCUGUUCGCCAUUUAAAGUGGUACGCGAGCUGGGUUUAGAACGUCGUGAGACAGUUCGGUCCCUAUCUGCCGUGGGCGCUGGAGAACUGAGGGGGGCUGCUCCUAGUACGAGAGGACCGGAGUGGACGCAUCACUGGUGUUCGGGUUGUCAUGCCAAUGGCACUGCCCGGUAGCUAAAUGCGGAAGAGAUAAGUGCUGAAAGCAUCUAAGCACGAAACUUGCCCCGAGAUGAGUUCUCCCUGAGACUUAGAGUCUCCUGAAGGAACGUUGAAGACGACGACGUUGAUAGGCCGGGUGUGUAAGCGCAGCGAUGCGUUGAGCUAACCGGUACUAAUGAACCGUGAGGCUUAACCUUACAACGCCGAAG
rnacentral:rRNA from 1 species